rnacentral:lncRNA from 1 species
UCGAUUUGCAAUCCGACGGCUCCACGGUCCUUUAAGCAAUGUUGUAGAUAAACUUGGACUCUCCAAGUUUUAUUUUUGCUCUGACCCGAGAUAAUCAUCCUAGUAUAGUCAAAUUUUGAAUCCUUUCUUUCAUUUGUCUGAAUUUCUCUGAAACUCGACAUUCAGUUCGUCAGUCACCUGACAGGGUCAUUUACCCUACUUCGUAAUUAAAUUUAGUGAUCCAAAUCCUUUUCUUCCAGUCCAACUUCUCUCCAUUUGCGUUCUACAACAUCCAAGGGUUCCAUUUUGCCCAUAAACAUGUACACCUUUUACUCCACAUCUCUCUAAAACCGGCUCCAAACUUGGCCAUAUAUUGCUGUUUCAGACUUAGUUAAAUUCAGUGGUGCAGUUUACCGUGACAGGAUGCUGACUUUAGGCCUCCAUUUGAAAUGGCUCCCUCUACUAUUCUCGAUCAACAACACCUAAAGAUACUUUUCCAAAGUCCAUACUUUAAUAUGAUAUAGUUGUCUUAAUCCACUUAUUUGAAAAAUUUAACAGAAAUCAAUUUCCAAAAUGGAGUCUGAUGUUGUUCUUCUGAAAUUCCUAUUGUCGGACGAUGAACAGUGCAAUUCGGUUUUAACUCCUUUCUUUGUUUUUUUUUGAGGUAUUUGGGACCAAAUCUUGUCCCAAAUCUUGAUAUUUAAGUUUUGCCCACCCUUAUACUCCCAUUCCAUAUUUUUGCCGAAUUUUUCUGAAUUUCGAAUUCAAAAUUCAAAUUUCGGUCAAAUUUGACCCGAAUUUGAUUUUUAGCCAAUUUCUUCUCCUUUCCUUCAUGAAUUGCUUCUAUUUCUUUAGAGUUACUUUGAUGACUAAAAAUGGCAGGUAUUACAGCCUCUCCCCCUUAACAGAAUCUCGUCCCGAGAUUCUCGGGGUUAAAUCCUCGGCUUUGAGAAUGGAAAGGAAACUGCGUCAGGCCAUCUAUCUUUCUCUUUUCUGUACAAGGGAAGUGGGGUGGUGGCUUCUGUUCAUCUGAUCCUGACGGUUUCAAAUAGUUCAGGAUAUUUAGACUCUAGGUCUUCAGCCUGCUCCCAAGUAGCUUCAUCCGGAGUAUGAUUUUUCCAUUGUACCUUGUAAAACGUAAUACUUCGAGUUUGGGUAUCUCUUGUCUUUUGAUCCAGAAUUUUAAUAGGCCUUUCUUCAUAGGUUAGAUCUGGUUCGAGCUUAAUUUCUGGAUCUUCUAGAAUCUCUUCUGGAACUCUUAAGCACUUCUUAAGCUGGGAUACAUGAAACACAUCAUGUAUAGAAGUAAGUUGGUCUGGUAAUGACAGCUUGUAUGCUACCGGACCUUUUCGUUCCAGAAUUUCAUAAGGACCAAUGUACCUUGGAGAUAAUUUACCCUUUAUUCCAAAUGCUGUACUCCUUUCAUUGGGGAUACCUUCAAGUAUACAAAAUCUCCGGUAUGAAAUUCCAAGGACCGUCUCCUUUUAUCUGAAUAACUCUUUUGUCGAGACUAGGCUAUUUCCAAAUGUCUACGAAUUUUUCGAACCUUUUCCUCGGUUUCCAUAACCAAAUCUAAUCCUAAAUGUGUCCUUUCUCCUAUUUCCGACCAAUUCAAGGGGGUUCGGCAUCUUCGACCAUAUAAGGCUUCGAAAGGUGCCAUCUUGAUACUAGCCUGAUAACUAUUAUUAUAGGAGAACUCGGCUAGGGGCAAACACUUGUCCCAUAGCUUAGAGAAGGUAAGGACACAUGCUCUUAACAUAUCCUCCAAAAUUUGAUUGACUCUUUUUGUUUGUCCUCCGGUUUGGGGAUGAUAGGCAGAACUUCUAAUUAAAGUAGUGCCCAUAUCUUUUUGUAAUUGUUCCCAAAAUCUGGAAACAAACUGGGGGAGCCUCGAUCGGAGAUAAUUGUCUUUGGUACUCCGUGCAAGGAUACGAUCCGGGCUAUAUAGAGUUUAGCAUAUGUCGACACUGGAUAGGUAGUCUUGACUGGGAUGAAGUGGGCUGACUUAGUGAGUCAGUCGACAAUAACCCAUAUGGAAUCAUAUCCUUUUGAAGUGGUAGGCAAUCCAACUAUAUAAUCCAUGGAAAUAUCCUCCCAUUUCCAGACAGGGAUUUCUGAAGGUUGAAGCAAACCCGCCGACUUUUGUAGUAUUGGUUUAACUCUCCGGCAGGUGUCGCACUCGGCUACAUAUCUUGCAAUUUUAGGUGUCAUUUUGGCCCACCAGAAUCUUUGCUUUAAAUCUUGGUACAUUUUAUUGCUUCCGGGAUGAAUGGCGAACUUAGACAGAUGUGCUUCAUCUAAGAUCAAUUUUCUUAGGCUUUCCUCCUUAGGAACUACUAUCCUUUUCUUGAAAUAGAGUCCUCCAUCUUCUUCUUGAGUGAGUUCGGAAAUCUUUCCUUCUGUUUUUCGUUGAUAGAGCACCUUAAUCCAAGGAUCUUCUUUUUGGGCUGCUAUGAUUCUCCCCUUUAGAGUGUCUUGCACAAUAAUGUUCUGGAGGGCACCUUGCUUUACUAUUUCCAAGCUUAAAUCUUCCAAUUCUUCACAUAAGGUCUUAAGAUUAGACUGAACAGUGGUACAAUGGCACUGGGCCUUUCUGCUCAAAGCAUCAGCCACCACAUUAGCCUUACCAGGAUGAUAGUGGAUUUCUAACUUAUAAUCUUUAAUUAGCUCCAACCAUCAUCUCUGCCUCAUAUUCAAAUCCAUUUGAGUAAAUAUAUACUUUAAGCUUUUGUGGUCAGUAAAGAUACGACAUUCACUACCUAAAAGAUAGUGUCGCCAUAUCUUUAAUGCAUGGACUACGACAGCAAGCUCUAAAUCAUGGGUAGGGUAAUGCUCUUCAUGACUCUUCAGUUGACGAGAAGCAUAAGCAAUAACUCUGCCUUCUUGCAUAAGAACACACCCUACUCCUAUCCCUGAGGCAUCACAGUACACAUCAAAGGGCUUCUCUAUAUCAGGUUGAGCUAGCCCUGGGGCUGUAGUCAGUAGCCUCUUUAGGGUUUGAAAUGAUUCUUCACAUUCGGGUUUCCACUCAAAUUCACUUCUUUCUUUAACAAUUUUGUGAUUGGCUUGGAAAUUUUUGAGAAAUUGGGGAUGAGUAAUACCCGGCCAUUCCUAAGAAACUUCUUACUUCAUGAACAGAGGUUGGUGAUUUCCAAUCCAAUAUGUCCUUGACUUUCCCGGGAUCUACUUCAAUUCCUUUUUCGGACAGUAUGUGCCCAAGGAAUGGAACUCUCUUUAACCAGAAUUCACAUUUACUGAACUUGGCAUACAACUGGUGUUCCCGGAGUCUACUUAGAACAAUACGCAGGUGUUGCGCAUGUUCCUCUUCAUUUUUAGAAAAGACGAGGAUAUCAUCUAUAAAGACGAUCACAAAUUUAUCUAAUUCUGGCAUGAAUACCGAAUUCAUGAGGUACAUAAAAUGCGCUGGGGCAUUUGUCAGUCCGAAAGACAUAACUAAAUACUCAUAUAAUCCAUAUCGGGUUGAGAAGGCUAUUUUAGGUAUGUCUUCGGGUUUUAUCUUAAUCUGAUGAUAUCCUGACCGAAGGUCGAUCUUUGAAAACACCUUGGCUCCAGCUAGUUGAUCAAAUAACAAGUCAAUCCGUGGUAACGGAUACUUGUUUUUAAUAGUUACCGCAUUUAAGGGACGGUAAUCCACACAUCUCUAUCUACCUAUUAUUAAAGCAAGUAACGCCUCUGCCUGGAUUUUCGUCCGUCGUGGUUAUUUUACAAAAAAGUCCCUUGACUUUUUAGUAAUCAACCCGCGGUCCAAAUGUUGAAAAGAGGGGAGCUCGGGUAGAAAAAGAAGAGAAGGGAGGGGGUUAACGGGAAAAACACUUCUCCUUUCUUCACAACAGAGAGGCGGAGGGAGAUUGGGCGCGGGCGGCCGGCAGCGUCGGUGGUGCGGCGUGGAGCGGCGGCGGCGGCGGCGGGAGAGCCGGCGAAGGGGACGGCGGCGGGGGCGGGGGCUUGCGGCGGCGCAGGCACCGACCAGGCAACGUAACCAAGAAUGGCCGCCCGCGUCGCCGCCACCCUCGUCGCGCUCCUCGUCGCCCUCUUCGCCGUCGCCGCCACGGCGCAGGCCCCGGCGGCGGCGCCCAAGAUGGCUCCGCUGCCGCCGCCGCCCAAACGGGCCCCGAUGGCCUCCCCGCCCGCGCCGCCCAUGGGGAGCCCGGCCUCCGCUCCCUCGGCCUCCGUCCCGGCCAUGAGCCCGACGGCGGCGAAGCUGGUGUCUAUGGCGCGCGGCAAUCCCCGCGUCGCCAUCAUCGACGUCAGGUACGUACGUCCGCGGGCCGAUGCCUGUGCUGCGCUGCCCUUCGCCGCGCCGAUUUGGAAAUCGGAGCGUAGAAUUCUGAUUUUGCCCUCUCCGUGUGUUGCUGGGGAAUUCGAUUGGAAACGGAAGGGACGAGGAGAGGAGCUACCAGGCGCACAUCGCGGGGUCACACCACUUCGCCAGCGGCAGCUUCGCGGCGCGGAUGCCGGAGCUGGUGCAGGCCGCCAGCGGCAAGGACACCCUCGUCUUCCACUGCGCUCUCAGCCAGGUCCCAGAUCCGCCGCCCUCGUUUCUCUCACUUCUAUCCGAAGCUCCGCACCCUGCAACUACUCUGCCCCGUUCCCUAUACAUACAGGGGAAUCUGAUUCUCCCCGGAUAAUGCUGUUCUAGGAACUAUCGCACGUCCGUUGGCUUGAUUCGCUUUUGCAAAUGGAAACAUAUAUGUGUUGGUUUGAGGCACAGAUGAUUGUCAGCUCAGUAGAGGUGUUGAUCUUCAUCUUCCUGUGGAAACUGAUAAUUUGCACAAUGCACAUCAUAUUAGCAUUUGACUGUUAAGAUGUCCACUAGACUAAGCAAUUGUUAAGCCAACAACAGCUUUGGUGAUGCCAAUUUGUUUUUGAGCGUGGUCUCCACAUGUACCUUCCUCUGAUUAAAUUAACUGCCCUACCCUUGUAAUUUCGUUAGCUUGAUCAUACUGGUGGCCUGCAUAGUAGACCUGUAUAUGCACUGCUCUGUCCUGCAUAUUAGACUUGUAUAUGUAAUGCUCUGUUCAGGUUUUCAUGUUUGGGUCAAACUUUAGUAUGAAACAAAAAAGUUUAGGAUGCCUUAGCUUUAGCUAGGAAUAAUGAUACAAGUUCAGGAUUCAGAAUCUUCCUUGUGGGAGGUAUCUAAGAAAAAAUUGCUAUCCAGAGGCAUUCCUUUCCUUUUCCACUGGAUGGUUGUUGCAAAUGACGCAAUAAAUCUUUCCCUUGGGGAAAAGCACAAAGGGAGUUUGUUUUGUUUUAUUGACAAGCCACACAGGAAGUUAGAAUUAACAUGUCACAUCCAAUUGUAACUUCUUUUUUUGCUUAUUAAGAAAUGUGUGUGAAAUUGCAGAUAACAGCUUGCUUUUGACUUUAAUGAAAUAUACGCUGUGAUGCUGUUUUAACUUCUAUAGAGAAUGCAAGGCCUAUGAUGUUAUUGCUGAUUAUUAUGCCCAUGGCUUUGGUUUUGCUAAACGCUUAAACAUCCAUUAACUUCCAAACAUUAUCUGAUGAAAUAGAUGACCAAUUGAACAGUCUUAUCUAAAUCUCAUCAUCUAGCUCUACUUCCACCUGUAGUUGAUAGCUAGGAGUUGUACCCACUCGAUAUUUCUUCUGGAGCAGAGACCUUUUACAAUUUUACUCUCUAAUGAAUAGUGAUGCUCAUAUCUCAUGCGCUGUUAGUAUCCCAAACUGUGUUAGUUUGGCAGCAGCAUCGCUAUUACUCCCACCGUCCCAAAUUACUAUUCGUUUUGGUUUUUCUAGAUACAUAGCCUUUGACAUGCACCUAGAUAUAUAUUAUGUCUAGGUACAUAGCAAAAGUUAUGUAUCUAGAAGAGCCAAAACGAAUAGUAAUUUGGGACGGAUGGAGUAUCUGAUGGCAGGAACAGCAAUGCAGCAAGUCCUGUUUCCUCUGUUUUAUCUGUGUUCUUUUAUUCUUAUAGUCUUCAUUUUAUAUCCAAAUCUUAUCUUUCAGUCCAGUGCAGGGAUUAUAUGUAAAUAAAAUAGUUUUUUCCCCUUCCUAACUGUUGUAUCACUGCACUCCAGGUGCGAGGUCCAACAUGUGCUCGGAUGUUCUCUGACUAUCUAUCGGAGACCAAGGAGGAUUCAGAGAUAAAGAACAUCAUGGUACUGGAGCUCGGGUUUAACGGAUGGGAGGUUUCAGGGCAGCCUGUUUGCCGCUGCACCGACGCUCCUUGCAAAGGGACGUGCUCAUGAACACACGAGUUCCAUGUCAGGCCUUCACAAUCAACGAUCAGCAUGGUCGGCGGGAGAACUACGUCGAGGGGUGGGAAAGAAGGCAAAAUCAUAUGCUCAAGUUACUGAUGAAGAAGAAACUUAUGUUUUAUGUUUUAUGUUACCCGUAGCAACGCACGGGCAUUUCUGCUAGUAACCUUAAUAUGUCAUCUUUCUCUUUAACAAAUAGAGCAGGGCAGCCCCAUGGUGAAGUACUAGGUUGGACAAAACCUUUAUCCAGCAAUUCUUGGAGUUGUACUUUUAAUUCUGCUAAUUCCUUAGGUGGCAUCCAAUACAGUCUUCUCGAGAUAGGAGCAGUGCCCGGUUCUAACUCAAUGGUAAACUCUACCGCUCUAUCAGGCGGUAGUCCAGGCAGAUCUUCUGGGAACACAUCUAUAAACUUAUUAACCACAGGAAUAGAUUCUAGAGUCACUGCUCUAGUCUUUUUGACCAUCUGGUCCAAACAGGGAUGAGCGGGUAAUUGGAGCUCAAAAGGGUGGCCUUGGUCAUCUCUCAUGCUAACGACCUGAUUAUCCAUAUCGAUUUGAACUUUAUGUUCCUUCAUCCAAUUCACCCCCAAAAUAAUAUCUAUUCCUUGAUCUUCCAGAAUUAAAGGAUAAGCACCCACCUUAUUUCCUUCUAAAUUCAAAAUUACAUUGCGAGCUACUUGAUUUGUAUUCUGAGUAGCCCCAGUAGCUUGAAUAGCAUAUUUGACAUUUAAGGUGUGUACUUCUAGUUGGUGUUGCGUAACAAACUUUCUACUUAUAAAAGUAUGUGAUGCACCCGAAUCAAAUAAAACCAUGGCAGGAUAAUCGUUAACAAGGUACAUACCUACCACAAUAGGCUCUCCUUCCGAAAUCUCCUCCACAUUCAUAUAAUGAGCCUGUCCUGUCUUGGUGUUCAGAAAUUUGCGACGAACAAACUUCUGUCCGGUGCCCUGACCAGAGGUUUGAGCCCUUAAAUUCGCGUUUCCCCCAACCUUGGGAAAACGGCAGUCUCGGGCAAAGUGUCCCGGUUUCCUACAGUUAAAACAAACCUAUGGAUUCCCUGGAGGAGUAGGGUUACGAAACCCAAGAAGUGGUGCAUUUCCAGGACGAGGAGCAUUAAUAGGAGCUCUGACAUUCCACGGCUGAAAGGGCCUCUGCUGAAGAGAAGGUCGAUACGCGGGUCGAGGAGGACCUCGGUAUACCACCUUCAUUCUCUGUGGGGCACUCCCGAAGGUUCCAAAAGGAAUAUUCUUCCUCUUCAAGGAUUCUUCUUUCUUUAAAGUCUCAUCUAAGAUCCUCAUCUUUUCUUCUGCAGUAAUGGUUGUGCUUACCGUAGAGCUAUAGUCAGCAAAGGUGCAGGUGGACAGUUUCUCCUGCAUUCGUCAUUUAAGACCACGAAGAUAACAAUCUCUUUUUCUAGACUCCGUAUUGACAUGUUCCGGUGCAUACUGGGCCAUGUGAUCAAACUCAUUGGUGUACUCCAGAAUGCUGCGGGUCCCCUGCUGCAGCCCUAGGAAUUGCUCCAGCUUCAUACGCAUGAUACCUUCUGGCACAAACUGUGUCCGAAGGCUUCCUUGAAGCUCUCCCAUGUAACUUCCCUUCCAACUGGUUGCCUUGCCAGAUAACUGGUCCACCAGGUCCCAGCAGGACCUUGGAGCUGGAGUCCAGCAAACUCCACCUUCUGGGUGGUGGUGCACUGGGGAAUCACCCGAAAUAUCUGCUCCAUCGUCUGAAGCCAUUCAUUAGCUUCAAGUGGGUGCUCUGCUUUUAAGAAUAUUGGAGGACGAGUUUCCAAGAACUGGGUGUAGGAUACACCUCGUUCUGGGUCUCGUCGGUUUCCACCAUUGCCGGUGUUUUGCACGAUCAUUUGAAGCAGUCGAGUCUGUUCGGCUCCUGAAUUCAUGAGGCUGGCUAUGGCAUCUGCCAGCGUUGGAGCUCUCGGUAAAUUCUCCUCGUGGCCCCCUGACCCUGAAGCUCGUGGACCCCUCAGAUCUGUCAUGCUGUCAAAAGCAAACAGAGUAUUAAUAUCUAAGUUACAUUUCACCAACAGUUCUCUGUGCACACUAAUAUUUCACACAUCACAGCAUGACCAUACACAAACCACACUUAUAUACAUAUUUAUUUAUAAUACAUGACUUGAAGUUACUUUUUACAAAAACCACCGUACUACUUCAUCCACUGUAUUUAUCUUACAUAACUACAUCACAACAUCUCUUGGUUAAGGUCUUGCUUCAACCAUCGUAGGGGUAAAUGCCUAGUUCUUCGGCAUUCAGUCCUAGACGGGCCAUCGCAGCCUGCAGGAUAUCUUGGUCCACUGUCAUUAGCGUCUGUCCCGGAGGAGUGACAGGUGGGGCCUGAUUUACUGAGUUCUCACUCUCUGACUCUGGCCUGGGAUCACUUGAAGUGUAGGAAGUGUAGGAUGCAGAGGUACUGACUCCGGAAUUUCCCUCCAUUUCUUCGGGGUCUUCUUCUUCUUCCCCGUCUUCCUGCUCAGCUUCACCCCACUGUUGCAUUGGUCCGUAGCCUUGUGGAUCUAACCCAUCGGCAUUUGCAUUUGCCCAGGCAAAUUGUUGAUUUCCCAUGGGAGCUUCACCCUGAUCAUCUUCCAUGUCAACAUCAAACCCUUCUAAGUUCUCGUGAGCGUAUAAGUCAAUCUCGGGAGCUGCAGGUGGAGCAAUAUCACCCUCCACUCCUACAACGUCCACCAACUGAUCUGCUUCUUCUGGGUUCGGUGGUUGGGGUUCUUCUGGUGGUGGAGGCGGUGGAACAUUGACUAUGUUCUGAGCAGGUACCUGGGCCUGCAUUUCCUCCAAAGCCAGACGAAGAGAUAAGAUUUCGUCCAGCUGCUGGAAUCUUUCUGCCUCGAGCCUAUUAACAUUGGAUUCGGCUUCUUCUCUUGCCCUGUCUGCCAUACUCCUACUGGCCUCUAUGAAUCCUUGCAUUACCCUGAGCUUCUCUUCAUAUUCAUCGAUUCUUCUGGACUGCUCUCUCAUGAUUUUCUCCAUGUCGUGUUCCCUUGCUAAUGCCGCCUUCUUGUACAACUCCUUAUCGUGUCUGGCACCCAUUAACUCCAUCUUGGCAUCUUCAUUUUUCUUCCUCUGAUUAUAAUACUCUCUGAUGCAAGACUGGUGCAAGUUGUACAUGGCCGUCAUAUAGUCGGAGGCAGCAGCAACCAAGAUGUCAUGCUCUACACGAGAAGAGUUCUUCAGGGCUUUAAUCCUUCUCUUCCAGAUUCCAUCAUCUUGAUGCUUUAUAGGAUAAAAUCGAGCAGAGCUCGACCCUAUCUCUACCUUGUGCUUCUCACAUAGGUCUGUGAGAGCAGCCAUAGCCGCCCUUUCAAUUGUGUCGUUAAACUCAAAACCCGACUCCAUCACUUCUUCUAGACGCCAAUUGGGGUCGGUGUCUUCAUCUGGAAUAUGCACAUAAAUAGUGCAGCACUGCUUGUGACACGUGUUCUCCUUCCUCCAAUAGUACUCUGGAGGGUUAUGGAAGCCUAACUCCUGCAGCGUUUUCCAUAGCAGCUGCACAAACCCUGGCUUGUCCAGGUAAUGCCCUCGGGUCCAUCCGUCCUGGUCGGUGUAGCCUUCUUGGAACAUCCUAUAAAAGAAACGAGGUUAGGUCUAACGGCACUCACCAAACCCAAAAGUUUUUAAAACAUGCUUAUGCAACAUGAUGCAACGGCUCCUACGUACUCACAGACUCAUAUACACACUCGUAGAGAAAUUGGUGGCAUCGUAAUCUCUCCCUAAUAAUAUACUACCGAAUACUAGCGACACGCAGCAAACAGUUAGCAUCUGCAAAACAAACAACCAGUUAACACUACUGCCACCUGUGACUCACGUUUUCUUUUGUUUAAAAUAGAGUCUCAAUGUUCAAAUGGUAAUAUCUGUUGAUUAUCCCAACCUACGGCUCUGAUACCAGCUGUGGCGGAACCGUCCAACUUAAACUGGUUUAAAUGCGCCUAAUCGCUGCCGAUGCAGCAAUUAUCCGAAACGCACUUUAAAACAGUAUAAGUCCGAUCGUCCGUCGAGUCUCCCUAGGACUCCUCGAAAGAUCCACGUCGUGUCUCAUAGCCAUACAUCAGGAUUGUAUCCGCGAUGGGAUAGCAUCAACAAAUAUUACAUUUUUACAUACAUACACGAGGUACGAGUUAAUACAAGACAUAGUUUGAAGCAUUAACAGUGCAGUGUUAGACAGAGUUCUAGGGUUUAAAACAGAAACGGCUCGGGUGGAGAUGAUCAUUAUAAAAUUUCUUCUAAGGGUAUUGUGAGACUCAUAACAAUACCCUAGGGUUUUGGGGCUUCCUCCUCGGUGGACUCCUGCGGUGCUUCUGAAAAGAUAGCCACAAGGGAUAACCCUGAGUACGGGGUACUCAGCAAGUCUUACCCGACUAACCAUUAUAAUAGUUUUUCUUGGAAGUACAUGAUAGCUUUUUCAGUGUACUUGGCUGAUACAUUUUUGCCAAAAAGCUUACUACAAGUGAGACCUUAGUUUUAUAUUUACUUGGGUUAAGUCUUUACCUAACCAUUCUAGGUUAUGAUAAAAGAUUAUUUGCAAACAACAAGGUAUUAAGUCAUAUACCAAACAUCAUCAGAAAGAUAUGACAUUCAUGAAUUUAUGCUACGAUGCUCAACAGUGAUCAAGUGCAUUCAUAACCGAGAAUUGCGGCGAUCCGGAUCAUAUUACAUCCUGCAGGAGAGUACCCUGGUCACCAGUUAUAUACGACUGUCCAGGUCGUACGUAACGACUUUUCGAUUAGCAAAUCCAAUGAUUAGGAAUAAGACUACCUGGACCCAGGGACGCACCCCCCAUGGGACCCCACGUCUGGCCCGUCACCAUGUGAGUUUCAGGCUACGCCCCUGCCAAUCUCCAGCACGUCAAGCGCGGGUACGAAGUAUUCCCGAUCAGAGAGUUUACUAACCUACUGGGCUUUACUGGUCCCAUACCCAGUAAGUGAUCAGAUGUCUUUCACUUGAUCAAAGGUUAAGACAACGAAUCGGGCUUUAACCAGAUUAAUCUAGCAGACAGAACUACAUCCUUAGCUUCUGUCCGCUUCUUAAUUUCCAAGUCAUCUUUCCAUAUUUAACAUGCAUGACUCAAAAUUUGCCUUAAGGUUUGGUAAACCAAGUAUUUAAGCAACUAAGCAAUUCUAGACUUGGGUUAUCUACUAAAGGUUUGAACAAGUGGCAAAGAUGUCCUUAAAACAAGGUAUGAUAAUGCACAAGAAUGGGUUUCAAGCAACUCCUAGACUUAGUGCAUACAUAUGGCAAAUAACCAAUAAUGGACACAUGAAAUAUUGACUCUAAAAUAAUAGGGAUAAUGCACCGGGGCUUGCCUUGUUCGCUAAAAAAGUUAGCACUGUCCGAAGGAUUUGCCUCGCAGGGGACCAAUUCAAAGACUUCCUCAAAUUCCGGAGAUUCUUCUAAAUAUUCCGAGAAAUCUCCUUCUGGUGCUUCGGUGUCUAUAACACAACACAUGCAGAGUUAGGAAUGCAACUUUUUGAAUACAAGACCAUACAACUUUCCUUCAUGAUAAAGUUGCAAGCCAACAAGGACUAUACAAUUUAUCAUGAUAAAGUUGCAAGCCAACACACAAAAACCCGAAAAGAUUAGCCCACAAUUUUUAUUUUCUUAAUUAUCCUUACUUAAGGCCUUUUCUUUUAUUUUUAGAAAAUGUUAUAAUUAUUUUCUAGCUUUAAAACCUAAUUUCCUAUGAAUUAAUAAUAAUUUGUAAUUAUGAAAAUGUUAUUCCAUAUUUUAUGUAUUUAAUAAAGAUUAAGUAUUUAUUUAAAUACCUUAAAAGAAAGGCAUUAAAUAAAUACUAAAAUUGUUACUAUUUUUCUAGGGUAUAAAAAUUUUAAUGCAUAAAGGAAAAUAAAACAAGCCUAACAAAAUUGGUUUCACUAAUUUUGGACACUCCUAGAAAUUUCUGUAAUUUAAAUGGUGAGAUUCGAAUUUAAACUAAUUAUUCUAUAAAGGAAAUCUAAUUUUUCCCGAAAAACACCCCCGACAACUUUUCUCACGUGACCCUACUCUACCCCCUCUCUCUUGCGCUGGGCCCGCGGCGCGGACCCACCCUUUUUCCUAUUCAUCCUACCCGCCGGCCUACCCCCUCCUCUAACGGGCUCUCUGGGCCGAUUCUUCUUUUCUUUUUCUUUUUCCAACCGGCGACGGCCCGACGGCCCAUCUUUCUUUUUCUCUUUCUCCCGCAACGCCGGCCUGCUGGAUCUCUGGGCCUCUGGCCUCUUUCUCCAACGGCCGACCGCCCCAGCUUCUUGGGCCUCCGGAACGCUGGCCCAACUGACGCCCGCGCCCGACCGGCCUGCCUCCUCUUCUCCCCUUCUCCACACUGACACGCGGGCCCAGCUCCAGCGCCUUCCUCUUCCUCCCGCCAAAAUCCCGAGCGCAACAGGGGGCGGCGCGGCUCGCCGGCCGGCGCCCCAUCGGCGACGGGGCUAGGCCGGGGAAGCAUCCCCAUGCCAUAGCACACCCGGGCGCGGCGACAGCUCCCCGAGAGAUGGCUGGAGCUACUCCCUCCACGGCGGCGGGCGGCGGCGCCUACGGCCGGUCGUGGUGAAGCACGACAACGGCUUAGCUUACCCCGACGACUCCCUCUACGGCUUCCUAGCAUCCCAAGGCCCCGCCUACGACUACCCAAGAAGAAAGAGAGCAAGCGCAAAGAGGUGCUCACCGUGAGCAGGAGGUGCGGCGACGGCGGACAGAAACAACGGCGGCGUAGCUGCCGAGAGCGCCGGCGGUUGACCGAGAGCGCCGGCGGCGACACGUCAAGCUCGACCCUGUCACCCGUCCUCCCUUUCUUCUUUCAUCAGAAACUUCACAGCCUUUUCACGGUCGAUUUGCAAUCCGACGGCUCCACGGUCCUUUAAGCAAUGUUGUAGAUAAACUUGGACUCUCCAAGUUUUAUUUUUGCUCUGACCCGAGAUAAUCAUCCUAGUAUAGUCAAAUUUUGAAUCCUUUCUUUCAUUUGUCUGAAUUUCUCUGAAACUCGACAUUCAGUUCGUCAGUCACCUGACAGGGUCAUUUACCCUACUUCAUAAUUAAAUUUAGUGAUCCAAAUCCUUUUCUUCCAGUCCAACUUCUCUCCAUUUGCGUUCUACAACAUCCAAGGGUUCCAUUUUGCCCAUAAACAUGUACACCUUUUACUCCACAUCUCUCUGAAAC